CAGUCGAACGAGAAGCCGGAGCAAUCUGGUGAGUAAAGUGGCGUACGGGUGAGUAACACGUGGAUAAUCUACCUUUUAGUGAGGAAUAACCAUGGGAAACCGUGGCUAAUACCGCAUAAGCUCGAGAGAGGAAAGUCGUAAGACGCUGAAAGAGGAGUCCGCGGCCGAUUAGCUAGUUGGCAGGGUAAAAGCCUACCAAGGCAAAGAUCGGUAGCCGGCCUGAGAGGGCACACGGCCACACUGGCACUGAAACACGGGCCAGACUCCUACGGGAGGCAGCAGUGGGGAAUCUUGCACAAUGGGGGAAACCCUGAUGCAGCGACGCCGCGUGAGCGAUGAAGCCCUUCGGGGUGUAAAGCUCUUUCGGCAGGGAAGAUAGUGACGGUACCUGCAGAAGCAGCUGCGGCUAACUACGUGCCAGCAGCCGCGGUAAUACGUAGGCAGCGAGCGUUGUUCGGAGUUACUGGGCGUAAAGGGUGUGUAGGCGGUUGUUUAAGUUUGGUGUGAAAUCUCCCGGCUCAACUGGGAGGGUGCGCCGAAUACUGAAUGACUUCGAGUGCGGGAGAGGAAAGUGGAAUUCCUGGUGUAGCGGUGAAAUGCGUAGAUAUCAGGAGGAACACCGGUGGUGUAGACGGCUUUCUGGACCGUAACUGACGCUGAGACACGAAAGCGUGGGUAGCAAACAGGAUUAGAUACCCUGGUAGUCCACGCCCUAAACGAUGCAUAUUUGGUGUGGGCGGUUCAUUCUGUCCGUGCCGGAGCUAACGCGUUAAAUAUGCCGCCUGGGGAGUACAGUCGCAAGGCUGAAACUCAAAGGAAUUGACGGGGGCCCGCACAAGCGGUGGAGCAUGUGGUUCAAUUCGACGCAACGCGAAGAACCUUACCUGGGCUCGAACGGCUAGCCAACGAGGGUGGAAACAUCUUUACCCCGCAAGGGGGUCUAGUCGAGGUGCUGCAUGGCGGUCGUCAGCUCGUGUCGUGAGAUGUUGGGUUAAGUCCCGCAACGAGCGCAACCCUUGUCCUGUGUUGCCAUACCGAAAGGUGGAACUCGCAGGAGACCGCCAGCGAUAAGCUGGAGGAAGGUGGGGAUGAC
rnacentral:rRNA from 1 species